GUGUGGAUAAUUAGCUGAUUCAAGAUCAGUUGUAUGUGUCAAACUAUCUGAGUAAUGCUCAUGCUGAAGCUCCUACAGCUGAUUUCUGGUCUGUUGGAUCACAUUGAACCAAAAGCAUCUUAAGAGCCGACGUAUAAGCCUCCUAACCCUUAAAGUUGCAUUUGCCGUUUGCGUGUCGUACAACUAGCAGCACACUAGAAAGCCUUCUGUAUCACUGGAGUCACCGCGAACUUGCAGAUUAAACAUUUGAAAGGUGAAGGAACAUCAACUUCACUCAGCCAGCCACAGGUCUGUGAAGUGCCACUCUCUAAUGAUGGUACCAGUGGUGAAAGUGAUUCAUAUGGCGUGUCAGAAGAUCAUGCUGAGAUGAAUGAUCCAGAGUUCCUUUCUUCUGCAA